rnacentral:rRNA from 1 species
AUUGAACGCUGGCGGCAGGCCUAACACAUGCAAGUCGAACGAGUGGCGGACGGGUGAGUAAUGUCUGGGAAACUGCCCGAUGGAUGGGGAUAACUACUGGAAACGGUAGCUAAUACCGCAUACCAUCGGAUGUGCCCAGAUGGGAUUAGCUAGUAGGUGGGGUAACGGAUCACCUAGGCGACGAUCCCUAGCUGGUCUGAGAGGAUGACCAGCCACAAUGGAACUGAGAAACGGUCCAGACUCCUACGGGAGGCAGCAGUGGGGAAUAUUGCAAAAUGGGAGGAAGCCUGAUGCAGCCAUGCCGCGUGUAUGAAGAAGGCCUUCGGGUUGUAAAGGACUUUCAGCGGGGAGGCGUUACCCGCAGAAGAAGCACCGGCUAACUCCGUGCCAGCAGCCGCGGUAAUUC